rnacentral:rRNA from 1 species
CCUACGGGAGGCUGCAGUGGGGAAUAUUGGACAAUGGGCGAAAGCCUGAUCCAGCCAUGCCGCGUGUGUGAAGAAGGCCUUCGGGUUGUAAAGCACUUUCAGUGGGGAAGAAAGCCUUGGGGCUAAUACCCUCGAGGAAGGACAUCACCCACAGAAGAAGCACCGGCUAACUACGUGCCAGCAGCCGCGGUAAUACGGAGGGUGCGAGCGUUAAUCGGAAUUACUGGGCGUAAAGCGCGCGUAGGCGGUCUGAUAAGCCGGUUGUGAAAGCCCCGGGCUCAACCUGGGAACGGCAUCCGGAACUGUCAGGCUAGAGUGCAGGAGAGGAAGGUAGAAUUCCCGGUGUAGCGGUGAAAUGCGUAGAGAUCUGGAGGAAUACCAGUGGCGAAGGCGGCCUUCUGGACUGACACUGACGCUGAGGUGCGAAAGCGUGGGUAGCAAACAGGAUUAGAUCCCCCAGUAGUC